rnacentral:rRNA from 1 species
AUUGAACGCUGGCGGCAGGCCUAACACAUGCAAGUCGAACGAGUGGCGGACGGGUGAGUAAUGUCUGGGAAACUGCCUGAUGGAGGGGGAUAACUACUGGAAACGGUAGCUAAUACCGCAUACCAUCGGAUGUGCCUAGUUGGGAGUAGCUAGUAGGAGGGGUAACGGCUCACCUAGUCUACGAUCCCUAGCUGGUCUGAGAGGAUGACCGACCACACUGGAACUGAGACCCGGUCCAGACUCCUACGGAGGGCAGCAGUGGGGAAUAUUGCACAAUGGGCGCAAGCCUUAUGCAGCCAUGCCGCGUGUAUGAAGAAGGCCUUCGGGUUGUAAAGUACUUUCAGCGAGGAGGCGUUACUCGCAGAAGAGGCACCGGCGAACUCAGUGCCAGCAGCCGCGGUAAUUC